CAAGUGAUGAAAUGGAAAUGGACUGUCUUCAAGUCGAUCCCGACUUAUGGCUACCUUAUGAAUAGAGUUUUCAUGGUAUAGUUACAUGACGGUUGUUGAGGUGCAUCAGUGCAUUGGUCAGCCAGGGGGAGUGAAUUUUCCUGUCUUGGGUUGAACAGAGCAAAAGUGAGUCUUCCGAGUGUGGUACAAGGGAGACUAAACACAGACUAGCUAAAAUGAUGAAACUGAGGUUAUCAUACUUUGGACACAUCAUGAGAAGACAUGAUUCACUAGAAAAGACAUGAUAAAUCCAUGUUGGGUUCUGGUAAUCGCUGCAUUGU